UACAGAGGUCUCAAGCGUUGUUCGGAUUCAUUGGGCGUAAAGGGUGCGUAGGCGGCGCGGUAAGUCGGGUGUGAAAUCUCGGAGCUUAACUCCGAAACUGCAUUCGAUACUGCCGUGCUUGAGGACUGGAGAGGAGACUGGAAUUUACGGUGUAGCGGUGAAAUGCGUAGAUAUCAGGAGGAACACCGGUGGCGAAGGCGGAUCUCUGGGCCGUACCUGACGCUCAGGCGCGAAAGCUAGGGGAGCGAACAGG
rnacentral:rRNA from 1 species